GACGAACGCUGGCGGCGUGCUUAACACAUGCAAGUCGAACGGAAGGGCCCUGCUUUUGUGGGGUGCUCGAGUGGCGAACGGGUGAGUAACACGUGAGUAACCUGCCCUUGACUUUGGGAUAACUUCAGGAAACUGGGGCUAAUACCGGAUAGGAGCUCCUGCUGCAUGGUGGGGGUUGGAAAGUUUCGGCGGUUGGGGAUGGACUCGCGGCUUAUCAGCUUGUUGGUGGGGUAGUGGCUUACCAAGGCUUUGACGGGUAGCCGGCCUGAGAGGGUGACCGGCCACAUUGGGACUGAGAUACGGCCCAGACUCCUACGGGAGGCAGCAGUGGGGAAUAUUGCACAAUGGGCGGAAGCCUGAUGCAGCAACGCCGCGUGCGGGAUGACGGCCUUCGGGUUGUAAACCGCUUUCGCCUGUGACGAAGCGUGAGUGACGGUAAUGGGUAAAGAAGCACCGGCCAACUACGUG
rnacentral:rRNA from 1 species